UUAUGUUCGCCUGGUACCUAAAAGUGGAUUUUCCAAUUUGUCCCUUCGAAUUCGUUCCGCCAAUACCAACAUAUUCAACCAAACCUCAUUUUGAAGUACCAGGCGAACAGAAUGCAAUAGUAAGUGGUUACUUUUUUUUAAUAUUUUCAAAUUGCCCGCAAAAGUAUGCUAUAAAAAAUAAGCAAGAGCAACACCACGUUUUGUCUACGAAAUAUUGGCAAAUUUGCUGCUAUGCUAAACCGACAAUAGCCUGAUUACCACGUGUUAUUGAGGUUAAGGUAUAAAUUAAAUUUAUUUUGUAGUAAACGAAAUAGCGUGAAAUUCUAAUAUUUCUACUUUUUUAAUUUUUGGUGUUAGCAUAGCCAACCACGUACGUAGACCGAAGUGUAAAUCAAAUUCAAAUUAUAGUGACGAAUUAUUGUCAUACAGUGAAAUCAUUCCUGCUUUUUAGUUAUCUGUGCUUCAUUAUUCAAAAUUCUGUAGAUAUAAAAAAUACACAUACAGGUAUUGCCACAUAAUAAUUAUAAUAGUAAAUCAAAAUGCCGCCGAAAAAAUCUAAUCUCAACAACGUGAGCAGCAGAGAGGCACGACGCAAACGUGUUGAAAGAGCUCAUCAGUUGCCAGAACAAGUCGAUACAAGAAAUACAGCUCAAAGAAUUAGGACAGCGGAAGGUCGUGCACAAGAAUCUCAAGAACAGCGUAGCGAACGCCUGCAACAGAAUAUUACGAGAACAAGAGCGGCACGAGAACGAAACAUAGAUACAGUACGAGCACAAGAACGACAAAGGCAACGGAUCAGCCGCUCAUUAAUUUUAAAAGAAAAGUAAUGAUGCAGUGAUAGCAGCUGGAUCUUUCAACAGGAUAAUGAUCCUAAGCACACGGCGAAGAUUGUACAGGAUUGGCUGCUGUAUUAUGCUCCCCGGCAAUUGUAUUCCCCACCACAAAGCCCGGACUUGAAUGUUAUAGAGCACGUUUGGGAAAUCUUGGAGCGAAAAAUUCGAAAACACGAGAUAAAGAGUGCUCCUAUGUUAAGAGACAGGCUCCAAGAGGAAUGGAAUAAAAUCACAAAAGAAGAGCUGGAAAAUUUAGUUGCUUCUAUGCCCAGACGACUACAAGCAGUCAUUGAUGCCAAUGGUGGACCAACAAAAUAUUAAAUGUAGUAUAUAUAUUAGUAUUAAAUCAUAGAAGAGCUAACCAA